CAUUUGCGUUAAGGAUUGAACGGUUUGUUUGAGCUCUUUUUUGAUUUUUUCAACAAAAAAAAGCGAGUAGUGAAAGCCUGACCCAGA
rnacentral:misc_RNA from 1 species